AAACCAACCGGGAUUGCCUUAGUAACGGCGAGUGAAGCGGCAAAAGCUCAAAUUUGAAAUCUGGCACCUUCGGUGUCCGAGUUGUAAUUUGAAGAAGCAACUUUGGGGCUGGUCCUUGUCUAUGUUCCUUGGAACAGGACGUCAUGGAGGGUGAGAAUCCCGUGUGGCGAGGAUCCCAGUUCUUUGUAAAGUGCUUUCGACGAGUCGAGUUGUUUGGGAAUGCAGCUCUAAGUGGGUGGUAAAUUCCAUCUAAAGCUAAAUAUUGGCGAGAGACCGAUAGCGAACAAGUACAGUGAUGGAAAGAUGAAAAGAACUUUGAAAAGAGAGUGAAAAAGGACGUGAAAUUGUUGAAAGGGAAGGGCAUUUGAUCAGACAUGGUGUUUUGCGACCCUCGCUCCUUGUGGGUGGGGAUCUCGCAGUUCACUGGGCCAGCAUCAGUUUUGGCGGCAGGAUAAAUCUUUGGGAAUGUAGCUUUGCUUCGGGAAAGUGUUAUAGCCCAGGGGAAUACUGCCAGCCGGGACUGAGGAUUGCGACUUUGUCAAGGAUGUUGGCAUAAUGGUUAAAUGCCAC
rnacentral:rRNA from 1 species